GCCCUCGGUGGCUCAGAUGGAUAGAGCGUCUGCCAUGUAAGCAGGAGGUCCCGGGUUCGAGUCCUGGUCGGGGCA
rnacentral:tRNA from 1 species